GUGGGAACGUACCCUUCACUACGGAAUAGUCCCGGGAAACUGGGUUUAAUACCGUAUACGCCCUUCGGGGGAAAGAAUUUCGGUGAGGGAUCGGCCCGCGUUAGAUUAGUUAGUUGGUGGGGUAAUGGCCUACCAAGACUACGAUCUAUAGCUGGUUUGAGAGGAUGAUCAGCAACACUGGGACUGAGACACGGCCCAGACUCCUACGGGAGGCAGCAGUGGGGAAUCUUAGACAAUGGGGGCAACCCUGAUCUAGCGAUGCCGCGUGAGUGAUGAAGGCCUUAGGGUCGUAAAGCUCUUUCGCCUGUGAUGAUAAUGACAGUAGCAGGUAAAGAAACCCCGGCUAACUCCGUGCCAGCAGCCGCGGUAAUACGGAGGGGGUUAGCGUUGUUCGGAAUUACUGGGCGUAAAGCGCACGUAGGCGGAUUAGUCAGUCAGAGGUGAAAUCCCAGGGCUCAACCCUGGAACUGCCUUUGAUACUGCUAGUCUUGAGUUCGAGAGAGGUAAGUGGAAUUCCGAGUGUAGAGGUGAAAUUCGUAG
rnacentral:rRNA from 1 species